ACCUUACCAGGUCUUGGCAUCCUUUGACCACUCUAGAGAUAGAGCUUCCCCUUCGGGAGCAAAGUGACCGGUGGUGCCUGGUUGUCUUCAGCCCGGGUCGUAAGAUGUUGGGUUAAGUCCCGCAACGAGCGCAACCCUUAUUGUUAGUUGCCAUCAUUCAGUUGGCCACUCUAGCAAGCCUGCCGGUGCCAAACCGGAGGAAGGUGGGGAUGACGUCAAAUCAUCAUGCCCCUUAUGACUUGGGCUACACACGUGCUACAAUGGGAAGUACAACGAGUUGCGAAGUCGCGAGGUUAAGCUAAUCUCUUAAAGCUUCUCUCAGUUCGGAUUGCAGGCUGCAACUCGCCUGCAUGAAGCCGGAAUCGCUAGUAAUCGCGGAUCAGCACGCCGCGGUGAAUACGUUCCCGGCCCUUGUCCCCCCCGCCGGUCCCACCACGAGAGUUUGUACCACCCGAAGUCGUUGAGGUAACCUUUUGGAGCCAGCCGCCUAAGGUGGAU
rnacentral:rRNA from 1 species